rnacentral:rRNA from 1 species
GAAGGGUGCUACUGAUUUGAGAGCUUGCUCAGAUAUGACGAUGGACAUUGCAAAGAGUGGCGAACGAGGUGAGUAACACGUGGGAAACCUACCUCUUAGCAGGGGAUAACAUUUGGAAACAGAUGCUAAUACCGUAUAACAAUGACAACCGCAUGGUUGUUAUUUAAAAGAUGGUUCUGCUAUCACUAAGAGAUGGUCCCGCGGUGCAUUAGCUAGUUGGUAAGGUAAUGGCUUACCAAGGCGAUGAUGCAUAGCCGAGUUGAGAGACUGAUCGGCCACAAUGGGACUGAGACACGGCCCAUACUCCUACGGGAGGCAGCAGUAGGGAAUCUUCCACAAUGGGCGAAAGCCUGAUGGAGCAACGCCGCGUGUGUGAUGAAGGGUUUCGGCUCGUAAAACACUGUUGUAAGAGAAGAAUGACAUUGAGAGUAACUGUUCAAUGUGUGACGGUAUCUUACCAGAAAGGAACGGCUAAAUACGUGCCAGCAGCCGCGGUAAUACGUAUGUUCCAAGCGUUAUCCGGAUUUAUUGGGCGUAAAGCGAGCGCAGACGGUUAUUUAAGUCUGAAGUGAAAGCCCUCAGCUCAACUGAGGAAUUGCUUUGGAAACUGGAUGACUUGAGUGCAGUAGAGGAAAGUGGAACUCCAUGUGUAGCGGUGAAAUGCGUAGAUAUAUGGAAGAACACCAGUGGCGAAGGCGGCUUUCUGGACUGUAACUGACGUUGAGGCUCGAAAGUGUGGGUAGCAACAGGAUUAGAUACCCUGGUAGUCCACACCGUAAACGAUGAGUGCUAGGUGUUUGAGGGUUUCCGCCCUUAAAGUGCCCGCAGCCUAACGCGAUUAA